UACGGAGGGGGCUAGCGUUGUUCGGAAUUACUGGGCGUAAAGGGCUCGUAGGCGGCCAACUAAGUCAGACGUGAAAUCCCUCGGCUUAACCGGGGAACUGCGUCUGAUACUGGAUGGCUUGAGGUUGGGAGAGGGAUGCGGAAUUCCAGGUGUAGCGGUGAAAUGCGCAGAUAUCAGGAGGAACACCGGUGGCGAAGGCGGUUCUCUGGGCAUUACCUGACGCUGAGGAGCGAAAGUGUGGGGAGCGAACAGG
rnacentral:rRNA from 1 species